rnacentral:misc_RNA from 1 species
GAUGAAGAACGCAGCGAAAUGCGAUAAGUAAUGUGAAUUGCAGAAUUCAGUGAAUCAUCGAAUCUUUGAACGCACAUUGCGCCCGCCAGUAUUCUGGCGGGCAUGCCUGUCUGAGCGUCAUUUCAACCCUCAUGCCCCUAGGGCGUGGUGUUGGGGAUCGGCCAAAGCCCGCGAGGGACGGCCGGCCCCUAAAUCUAGUGGCGGACCCGUCGUGGCCUCCUCUGCGAAGUAGUGAUAUUCCGCAUCGGAGAGCGACGAGCCCCUGCCGUUAAACCCCCAACUUUCCAAGGUUGACCUCAGAUCAGGUAGGAAUACCCGCUGAACUUAAGCAUAUCAAAGCGGAGGA